UUGCUGUUAUAGCUUUCUUUUCCUUCUUCCAUUGAUAUCAGCUCCUCCAUGUUAUCACAAUCGUUUACUUCAAUCUCUUCCAGAUUUUGAAGGUUUGGCAUCAAGCCCCGAGGGAACAACUUCUUCAUACUUGGACACUGCCCUAUUUCAAUUCUUUUGAGAAGAGAAAAAGAAUUGCUGUUAUAGCUUUCUUUUCCUUCUUCCAUUGAUAUCAGCUCCUCCAUGUUAUCACAAUCGUAUACUUCAAUCUCUUCCAGAUUUUGAAGGUUUGGCAUCAAGCCCCGAGGGAACAACUUCUUCAUACUUGGACACUGCCCUAUUUCAAUUCUUUUGAGAAGAGAAAAGGUAACAUGCAGUGGUGAUGAUGGUACUGCUAUUGGAAUAUCCCCAUUGUCAAACAGGAAGUGUAAAUCAUUCGAAUCAAUUGAUAUUUCCUCGAGGCUUU
rnacentral:lncRNA from 1 species